UGCAGGGAGUGUCCUGGCCACCGCUGAGGCUGAGCGCUAGGGGGCGGGCUGGAAGUUUGCAGGCGCCCCCUGGGAAGCCUUCCUGGAGGGCGCACUGUGCAAGGCAUGCGGUUGGUUGGAGAGGGGCGCGGGGCAAAGAAGCCAGCAGAGCGGGAGAAGCGGGCCAAGGGGAAGCCAGGUGGCCUCAGACAGCCGCGCCAGGAAAAGCAAGAGGAGAAACAGCCAGCCCAGGCGGCGUUGUCAGCGGAAGCGGCCUCGGAAGCGGCAGGUGACCCCCCCUCAGCCCUCCCGCCUGUGGAACAACUGCGAGCCCUCCGCCUGGAUCCGCAACCAGUGACUAUCCAGGCCCGCAAGGACUUUGGCAGCCUGGGCAAGAAAGAGAGGCACAGGCGCAAGGCUCACCUGAAGCGCAGGAGUCUCCUCAUCCAGGACAUCCCUGGCUUCUGGGCCACAGCGGUAUCCGUUUGUGCUGAACCUCUUGGAGGCACCUAAGACCUGAGCGUUGAGCUCCUUGACCCCAGGCAGAUGGCCCGCCAUCCAGAGAUGUCGGCAGUGAUCAGUGAGGAAGAUGAAGACAUGCUGAGCUACAUGACCAAUUUGAAGGUGAGAAUGAGGAGCUUCCAGGCAGGGAGGCCCCCGA
rnacentral:lncRNA from 1 species